AGUGAACGCUGGCGGUAGGCCUUACACAUGCAAGUCGAACGGCAGCACGGGAGCAAUCCUGGUGGCGAGUGGCGAACGGGUGAGUAAUGUAUCGGAACGUGCCCAGUUGUGGGGGAUAACUGCUCGAAAGAGCAGCUAAUACCGCAUACGACCUGCGGGUGAAAGCGGGGGAUCGCAAGACCUCGCGCAAUUGGAGCGGCCGAUAUCAGAUUAGGUGGUUGGUGGGGUAAAGGCCCACCAAGCCAACGAUCUGUAGCUGGUCUGAGAGGACGACCAGCCACACUGGGACUGAGACACGGCCCAGACUCCCACGGGAGGCAGCAGUGGGGAAUUUUGGACAAUGGACGCAAGUCUGAUCCAGCCAUGCCGCGUGCGGGAAGAAGGCCUUCGGGUUGUAAACCGCUUCUGUCAGGGAAGAAACGGCUUUCUCUAAUACAGAGGGCUAAUGACGGUACCUGAAGAAUAAGCACCGGCUAACUACGUGCCAGCCGCCGCGGUAAAAC
rnacentral:rRNA from 1 species